rnacentral:tRNA from 1 species
AAAACAUUAGAUUGUGAUUCUAAAAACAGGAGUUAAAAUCCCCUUACUCACC